rnacentral:rRNA from 1 species
GACGAACGCUGGCGGCGUGCCUAACACAUGCAAGUCGAACGAGAAUCUUUGAACAGAACUUUUCGGAGUGACGUUCAAAGAGGAAAGUGGCGGACGGGCGAGUAACGCGUGAGUAACCUGCCCAUAAGAGGGGGAUAAUCCAUGGAAACGUGGACUAAUACCGCAUAUUGUAGUUAAGUUGCAUGACUUGAUUAUGAAAGAUUUAUCGCUUAUGGAUGGACUCGCGUCAGAUUAGAUAGUUGGUGAGGUAACGGCUCACCAAGUCAACGAUCUGUAGCCGAACUGAGAGGUUGAUCGGCCGCAUUGGGACUGAGACACGGCCCAGACUCCUACGGGAGGCAGCAGUGGGGAAUAUUGCGCAAUGGGGGCAACCCUGACGCAGCAACGCCGCGUGCAGGAAGAAGGUCUUCGGAUUGUAAACUGUUGUCGCAAGGGAAGAAGACAGUGACG